UACGGAGGGUGCGAGCGUUGUCCGGAAUCACUGGGCGUAAAGGGCGCGUAGGCGGCCUGAUAAGUAGGGGGUGAAAUCCUGCGGCUUAACCGCAGGGCUGCCUUCUAAACUGUCAGGCUCGAGCACAGUAGAGGCAGGUGGAAUUCUCGGUGUAGCGGUGGAAUGCGUAGAGAUCGGGAAGAACAUCAGUGGCGAAGGCGGCCUGCUGGGCUGUUGCUGACGCUGAGGCGCGACAGCGUGGGGAGCAAACAGG
rnacentral:rRNA from 1 species